GCACUAGAACUCACAACUCAAAAUAGAUCAUGCCAACCUUCUGCCAAUAUUCACUUUCACAGAAUCUCCUCUCUUUGUGAAGGAAAGGAGAGCAAUGAUUAGUCAAAGAGGAAGAUCAUAGAAUCGCAAAGUUGGAAGAGACCAUAAGUGCCAUCCAGUCCAACCAAGCUGUAAUCAGACUUGAUAUGGGAAAAGGGAAACACUAAAACAUUUCCUUAUGGGAUCACUGACUUUGCAGUUUUCUGCCCUGCUGUCUGAAUGCAAAAGGAUGGGAAAACUACAGCCCCCAUGAUUCUGUCAGGAAAUGAUGUGGCAAAACUUGCUAGAGGCAGUCAAUGCUUGCUUUGAGUCAGACAAGCAAUCCUCAUGCCCUUGAGAUUUUCCACACAGCUGGUUCGCUGUCCUUGACUGAACACAAAGGUAUCUCUUCACAAGGAUAGUUGGAUACUGGAGGAACAUUCAUCAUGAAGAUCCUUCAUUGUCUCUUCGCUGUUACCUUCUUCUUGUUCCAGGUUCUUCUAGGGGAGAUCCCAGUGGAAGCCAUGCUCCUUACCUGCAGCUCUCUCGGUGGAUUUUGUCUGCGGCUACCCAAUGACACUUGUCCAUCAGGUGUUAUCCUGGAUAUGCCUUGUCAUUUCAAAAGAAGAUGUUGCUCAAAGACAGCAGUAUAACUGUGACUUUUAUGGAAUAAAUCUGCAGAGCCAUCAAAUAAAGUUGCUUAUUAAAUCAA